UACGUAGGGGGCAAGCGUUGUCCGGAUUUAUUGGGCGUAAAGAGCGUGCAGGCGGUCCUUUAAGUCUGAUGUGAAAGCCCACGGCUCAACCGUGGAGGGUCAUUGGAAACUGGGGGACUUGAGUGCAGAAGAGGAAAGCGGAAUUCCACGUGUAGCGGUGAAAUGCGUAGAGAUGUGGAGGAACACCAGUGGCGAAGGCGGCUUUCUGGUCUGUAACUGACGCUGAGGCGCGAAAGCGUGGGGAGCAAACAGG
rnacentral:rRNA from 1 species